GGUUUCUCCACAAUGGUCCACAGCAAGUCCUGCACAUCACCUACAAACUGCCUUACACCAAACUUUGGAGUCACAAGGUCAACUAUCAAUGCUAAAUGUUGUAACACAGAUUUGUGCAACACUGAAACGAUACCAGCGUAUGAGGGCGCUACCCCGUCUGGUUUGGAGUGCUAUGGCUGUGAAACAAUGGACUGCUCCAAUUACAUCACUACAAAGUGCCUUGGCAAUGAAAACCGUUGUACGAUGAUUGUAGCGGGUCUGCCUUUUUAGACGUGCUGGAUGUGCGGAAAGUGCUGGCCGGGAGCGAGGAUCAGCGGAGAGAAAGGAGCCCCCGGAUAGAGAGAAAUAGGGAGAGCAGGGUAACUUUGGGCAGAACCCCA